rnacentral:tRNA from 1 species
GCCCCGUUGGCGGAAUAGGCAGACGCGGUCGGCUCAAACCCGGCUGCCCUCACGGGCGUCCCGGUUCGAGUCCGGGACGGGGCA